UACGGAGGGUGCAAGCGUUAUCCGGAUUCACUGGGUUUAAAGGGUGCGUAGGUGGGUUGGUAAGUCAGUGGUGAAAUCUCCGUGCUUAACAUGGAAACUGCCAUUGAUACUACUGAUCUUGAAUUUUCAGGAGGUAAGCGGAAUAUGUCAUGUAGCGGUGAAAUGCUUAGAUAUGACAUAGAACACCAAUUGCGAAGGCAGCUUACUACAGGAACAUUGACACUGAUGCACGAAAGCGUGGGGAGCGAACAGG
rnacentral:rRNA from 1 species